AUACGGAGGGUGCAAGCGUUGUUCGGAAUCACUGGGCGUAAAGGGCGCGCAGGCGGUUUGGUAAGUCAGAUGUGAAAGCCCACGGCUCAUCCGUGGAAGUGCAUUUGAAACUGUCAGACUUGAGUACUAGAGGGGAAAGUGGAAUUCCCGGUGUAGAGGUGAAAUUCGUAGAUAUCGGGAGGAAUACCGGUGGCGAAGGCGACUUUCUGGCUAGAUACUGACGCUGAGGCGCGAAAGCGUGGGGAGCAAACAGGAUUAGAUACCCUAGUAGUCC
rnacentral:rRNA from 1 species